rnacentral:rRNA from 1 species
GACGAACGCUGGCGGCGUGCUUAACACAUGCAAGUCGAACGGUGAACCAGAGCUUGCUCUGGGGAUCAGUGGCGAACGGGUGAGUAACACGUGGGCAACCUGCCCCAGACUCUGGGAUAACCUCGGGAAACCGAUGCUAAUACCGGAUACGACCACUUCGGACAUCCGACGGUGGUGGAAAGUUUUUCGGUCUGGGAUGGGCCCGCGGCCUAUCAGCUAGUUGGUGGGGUAAUGGCCUACCAAGGCGACGACGGGUAGCCGGCCUGAGAGGGCGACCGGCCACACUGGAACUGAGACACGGUCCAGACUCCUACGGGAGGCAGCAGUGGGGAAUAUUGCACAAUGGGCGAAAGCCUGAUGCAGCGACGCCGCGUGAGGGACGACGGCCUCGGGUUGUAAACUCUUCAGCAGGACGAAGCGAAAGUGACUGUACCUGCAGAAGAAGCACCGGCUAACUACGUGCCAGCAGCCGCGGUAAU